rnacentral:snRNA from 1 species
CGGCACUGUGGGCAGGCAAAUCCGUAAACUUAUCCUCUGCCUUUUACUGACGAUAACAGUUUUCUGCCCACGCCAAAGUGCUGUGACUAUCCAAUUUUUCUUCUUCCCUUUUUCUCAAUGCGCAA